rnacentral:rRNA from 1 species
UACGUAGGGGGCGAGCGUUGUCCGGAAUCAUUGGGCGUAAAGCGCGUGUAGGCGGCCCGGUAAGUCCGCUGUGAAAGUCCAGGGCUCAACCCUGGGAUGCCGGUGGAUACUGUCGGGCUCGAGUCCGGAAGAGGCGAGUGGAAUUCCUGGUGUAGCGGUGAAAUGCGCAGAUAUCAGGAGGAACACCAAUGGCGAAGGCAGCUUCUUGGUCCAUUCCUGACGUUCAUACACGAAAGCGUGGGGAGCAAACAGG